rnacentral:lncRNA from 1 species
AUUUAACUGAAUCUACUAGAUAUAAAUCCAUCUUUAUAAUUUUGUAAUGUCUGAUCUUAUAAAUACCCACCUGAGGUUUCUGCAUAUUAGUUUCCUUUUAUGAGGCUAGUCUGGGCUGACCUUGGAUUACUGGUGUCUUGCUUCAGCCUCCAAAGAGCUAGGAUUACAGGCAUAGACUAUCAUUCCCAGCUAAAUGCCUUCAUAGGAGUAUGCUUGUAUGCAGAUAUUUGCAGUCAGGAGCACUAAGUUUGGGGCUGUGUUUUUUAAUUUCAUUUAUAAAAUAUGUCUCCAUUUUUGUAUGUCUUAGAUCUAUAAUAUUUCUUUUGUUUUAUAGUUAUAUAUGUUUUUUUAAAGAAAAAUAUGCUUUGAAAUUUGGACAGAAGGGCAGGCUUGCCAAUGAGUUAAUGUUCUGUAUUACAAUAUAAGGAAAAGAAUGCCAACUUAAGGUUGUGCUCUGGUUUCAAGUUUGAUUCCUUUGUGUAGUAUGUACACAGAGGUUGUGGUUAAAAUGUUUAACUCAGAAGAGCCUUAGUUGUGUAUCUGAAAAUGAGUGGUAGUGCCCACAGGACUUGUGAGUAUGCAGUGAGAUGGUCACUGCAGUGCCUCACAGCUCCUCAUAAAGCAGGUUACACCAGGUAAGCACUGCCAGCGCAAGCCCAUGGGCACCUGCACAAGAGGUGCGCUGGGCAAUGUCUCUGCUCAAGGUGAGGCUGUAAUGACCUCUUGUAGCCUCCUAACAAUGUUUCCUCCUUACAGUUACUGAAGUUAAAUACAGCGUUCUUCUUUUCUUACUAUUUAUACUUGUCUUACUUGUUUCAAAAAAUGUAGGUGAGUAACUUCUUUUUUUUUUUUCUUUUUUCCCAAGACAGGGUCUUGCUAUGUAGCCCGGGCUGGCCUGGAAUCGCUAUAUUGCCCAAGCUGGCCUGGAACUCAAGAUCCUCCUGCCUCAGCUUCAUGAGUGCUGAGAUUACAGGCGUGCGCCACCACGCCCGGUUUAGGUGAGUAACUCUUAAUUAAGUACUGCAACAAGUUAUUUUCUUAAUUUGAUUUACCUUAACAUCAGCAUAAACAUUUAAGAUUAUAUCACAAAAGAUUUAAGUUACUUCCUUUCCUAUAAAAAUGACAAAGUAAAGUACAUUUCAUAAUAAAAGUGCAGUGCACGUUUAGACUGGCUUUAAUCUCCACCAUUAAAGGAAGCAAAGAAGCAAGAAAGGGAGGGGGGAUAAGUAAUGACAUCACUCUAAAAUACCUGAAUUAUGCUAUUAUGUGCAUAAUUUUAACAGAUAACUUCAAUGUCCUAUGACUAGUUACUGUAAGCAAAUUAUGUAAAUCUUUAUAAUGAGAAUAGUAUGAAAUCAAACAGCUCACAGUAAUUAUAGUGCUUUAUGCAAGGAAGAGAGGGAUCUUUUUAAUAAGACAAGAAAGGAAACCAAAUAAUAUACCAGGGAUUUGCACUUCAGAUAAAACUAGUUGUGCCUGCACAUGACCGAUACCAGAAAUGAGCCAGAGAGAGUCACAAACUAGAAUAGCGUGAGACCUGGGUGAGCUUCGUGUGUGCAGUAUGUACCCUUGGAAGAGCAUUCCUAGUCCAUGUUCCUUAUUUUAAGACAAGCAGGGGCUAAGACAGAGUGUAUUAUAAAAUCAGAGACCUGAGCUGGGAGCACUGGCCGGUCCUGGGUUUGAUUCCCAGCACCCACGUGGUGCCUCAGAGCUGUCUGUAACUCCACUUCCAAGGGAUCCAUCCUCUUCCUGCUUCUGUGAGCAUCAGGAAGAUAUGCAGACAUAAGUGCAGGCAAAACACCCACACAUAUAAAAUAAAUUUUAGAAUUUAAGAAAGGCCAUUACUUUAUUUUUUAAAAAAAGACCAUUUACUUCCUACCCUGAAGGUAGGUCCUUGAAGCUGUGAACAGUAUUCUAGUAGAAUAAGCAGGCUUGAGAGGGAAGUUAUAUGGGGUUCUAAUCAAAAUUAAAAGCUUGGAAUUUAUUUGGGUCCCCCUGUAUUAACUAAUAAAUACAAUAGAGCUAUGGUUCUGAUCUGUAAUUAUCAAUGGAGGUUUAUGUAAACAUCUCAUAUGGUUGGAAGAUAUGUAUUUAGCAUGAUUUCCAUGCCUUACAGUCUACCCCAAUAAACCUGCAGAUAAAAUAUCUGUGAGUUUACACAUGUGUGUAUCCUUUUCUGUCCCUUCCCUUAUAUCCUGUCUCCACACCCUCCUCAGCCCUCCCCUACAUCAAAGCUUGUGGUCCUUUUCCAUCUGUGUACUAAAAGGUUCCUUUGUAAAGCAGGCCAUUUGUCCGUCAUUGUUUGGGGUGCAAACAGUGGUAAGAUACCCUGUCACUGAUCCGUGUGCUGUGAAUGGCAGCUCCUCUCUGGACAGUUGGUGGGGGGCUGAGGAUAUUCCUGAGAGGAUUAUUUAACCUUUCAAUUUAGAGGGCACAAAGCCUCGCUGAUUAAUGAACUUUCUGAUGGUUGCCGAUAAGCGGAUCUAUUGCUUUAUUUCCUCUAAAAGUGAUUCCUUCUCCUGUCCAUAUUACUAUAAUCUGAAACAUAAAUGUGGCAAAUAGAUUAAAAAACUGCACUAAAGAGUUUAUCUGGCUGGCAAACUGAAGGAGCUAAAUUAAAAUUGGUAAUGACAGCAGUGGCUCAGCCUCAUAUAUGGUUUUUAAAUGCACUGUGUAUUUUGAAGAGACUUAUUCUCCAGCUUGCCUGGUAAUGACUGCUUUUGGUGCAGUAUGGGGCUGGCUUCUGUUAUCCCCACCUCAUGCCCCCCCC